GACGGGGGAUGCGAGCGUUAUCCGGAAUGAUUGGGCGUAAAGGGUCCGCAGGUGGCCCGGUCAGUCCGCUGUCAAAGCCUGGGGCUCAACCCUGGAGAGGCGGCGGAGACCACCGGGCUUGAGUCCGGUAGGGGCAGAGGGAAUUCCCGGUGGAGCGGUGAAAUGCGUAGAGAUCGGGAAGAACGCCAAGGGCGAAGGCACUCUGCUAGGCCUGAUUUCGCGACUGACACUUAGGGACGAGAGCCAGGGGAGCGAAUGGG
rnacentral:rRNA from 1 species